rnacentral:rRNA from 1 species
CCUACGGGUGACAGCAGUGGGGAAUAUUGCACAAUGGGGGAAACCCUGAUGCAGCGACGCCGCGUGAGUGAAGAAGUAAUUCGUUAUGUAAAGCUCUAUCAGCAGGGAAGAAAAUGACGGUACCUGAGUAAGAAGCCCCGGCUAACUACGUGCCAGCAGCCGCGGUAAUACGUAGGGGGCAAGCGUUAUCCGGAUUUACUGGGUGUAAAGGGAGCGUAGACGGGAGUGCAAGUCUGGAGUGAAAGGCGGGGGCUCAACCCCCGGACUGCACUGGAAACUGUACGGCUGGAGUACAGGCGAGGUAAGUGGAAUUCCUGGUGUAGCGGUGAAAUGCGUAGAUAUUAGGAAGAACACCAGUGGCGAAGGCGGCUUACUAAACUGUAACUGACGUUGAGGCUCGAAAGCGUGGGGAGCAAACAGGAUUAGAUACCCGUGUAGUC